CUCUCCUUUCUCUCCUCUUCCUCCUCUCCUCUUCCUCCUCCUCCUCUCCCUCCUCUUCGUCCUCUUCCUCUUUUUCCAUGACUGAGACAUUGAACGCAGUGACAUCACUGCUGAUGACAUCACUGUGACAUCUCAUCUUUUAUUAUUAUUAUUGUUUUUAUUUCUUCCACUAACUCAAAUGUUGGUUUCCGUGUUGACCGACGACACAGCUACAGUUGUACUAACUGAGCAAAGCGGCAACUCCGGACGAGAACGUUUUUUUGGGAUCAAACGUCGAAAAAGAACAAAACGAGGAUUCAGAAACAGAACGGAAAGACUGUGAACUGGAAAUCUCUUGAUGUCUCGUGGGCCAAUAGGAACAGGACUACACGGUGAUGUCACUGAACUUGUUGCAGCUGAUUUGUGGAGGAAUAAUGGUUUCUAGUUUAAAGUCUACCCGAGUUAACCUUCAAACAUCACCGUCCAAUCGCCUACUUCCUGCAGAAAACCUUCCUGUGUUUCCAGCUGGUUUGUCUUUAUUUUUACUUUUGACUUAUUUGCUGUCAGAUUUUCUCCCUCACUUACCCAAAUCCAGUUUUAAAUUGGGAAAUGUAACUUAUAAAAUUUAAAAUAUAGCUAUAAAAAACCCAGGACAUAACAUUUAUGAUUUCAAACUUUGCACACCGCUCGCUUUUCUUUGUUUGAUUUUGUUUAACACAGACGUGAUUCGAAUCCUCCUGCUGUAAAUUAAAAGAUUUUUUUUUUUAAAAACUUGAAUAUUGAGACGUUGAAAUUCAGAUGUGUUGAAAUUGCCUCUCAGAUACUCUUACACUGUUAAAGCAUCAGGAAAAGUGGUAUAUGUUGUGUGUUAUGUGUGCUGCUGUUCCUGUUUUAUCAGCGAGAAAGAAACAAGCCCAGACUCUUAGAUUGUGAUUGACACUUAAAUCUGACAUCGAUUAUAUGUUUAGAUCGCAUUUCUGCUGUCAAACCCCGUUUUAAAGUCCCGUUGUUGAUCUAAGGAAGACGUGACAUAUGAGUUUUAUUACAAUAGUUAUAUUCUAACGGUGUAAAAGUGUUUGCGGGUGAUUUCUUGCGUCCUGUGUGAGUGCGGCCGAGCGGUCUGCUGUCUGUAGAUUUUGGUUUUAACCCCAUAUGUAUUUUCUCUGCGGUGCUAUUUGCUGUCUAACAACUAUCUAGGAAAAACCCUCCUGGCUGUGUUUGAAUGUAUUUGUAAAUGUUUAGGUGUGUUUUCUAAAGGCGCACACACAUGCACACACA